CAUCAAUCACAGUGUUUGAAUUUAAAAUAUCCAAAAUUGAGCUUGGACUCCAAGAGACAAAGGGAUAAAAGUAGUUAAAAUCCCACCAAAUUUUACUGCCAUACAACCAAUUCCAUGAGUAAAAAUCUUGGUUAUUUGUCCGUUUCUCGUUAAUGAUGAAUCACAAAAGUAGAAACAGUUGUUCCCCCCACCGACCGCCUUCUCUUCACCUACAACCGAAGCGCAGCGCAGUGGUAGUGUUGGAUUAUUACAGUAUAGACUCAGAAUUCAGCAAAUCACUAUUUCGCAUGUCGACUGAUAUCCACGAGAGAGAAAAAAUUUGGAGUGACUUGGAUGGUAUGUUUUUCCUUCUCUUUUAAUCUGGAAGGAAAUAGAUUGGCUAUCUCAAGUCAGUUGCCUCAUAAAUUGAUUUUGGUCAUAAUUGUUACAUCACUGGAUACUUCGCAUAUAUUUUCCCGUUUGUUUUCUGAUAAUCAGCAUCUUUAUAUAUUUUAUUUUGAUAUAGCGUUACAAGCUCGGAUGUUUAGUCUUUUAACUGCCUAUCUCUACCACUAGAAAAAAAGAAUCCAAUGAAUGGAAGGAUGUCAUCAAGAAAUUUACUUGCUAGGUGGAAAGAGCA